rnacentral:rRNA from 1 species
GAUGGAGGGGGAUAACUACUGGAAACGGUAGCUAAUACCGCAUAACGUCGCAAGACCAAAGUGGGGGACCUUCGGGCCUCAUGCCAUCAGAUGUGCCCAGAUGGGAUUAGCUAGUAGGUGGGGUAAUGGCUCACCUAGGCGACGAUCCCUAGCUGGUCUGAGAGGAUGACCAGCCACACUGGAACUGAGACACGGUCCAGACUCCUACGGGAGGCAGCAGUGGGGAAUAUUGCACAAUGGGCGCAAGCCUGAUGCAGCCAUGCCGCGUGUAUGAAGAAGGCCUUCGGGUUGUAAAGCACUUUCAGCGGGGAGGAAGGCGAUAAGGUUAAUAACCUCGUCGAUUGACGUUACCCGCAGAAGAAGCACCGGCUAACUCCGUGCCAGCAGCCGCGGUAAUACGGAGGGUGCAAGCGUUAAUCGGAAUUACUGGGCGUAAAGCGCACGCAGGCGGUCUGUCAAGUCGGAUGUGAAAUCCCCGGGCUCAACCUGGGAACUGCAUUCGAAACUGGCAGGCUAGAGUCUUGUAGAGGGGGGUAGAAUUCCAGGUGUAGCGGUGAAAUGCGUAGAGAUCUGGAGGAAUACCGGUGGCGAAGGCGGCCCCCUGGACAAAGACUGAC